rnacentral:rRNA from 1 species
GACGAACGCUGGCGGCGUGCUUAACACAUGCAAGUCGAACGGUGAUCUUGGGAGCUUGCUCUUGGGUGAUCAGUGGCGAACGGGUGAGUAACACGUGAGUAACCUGCCCCUGACUCUGGAAUAACUUCGGGAAACCGAAGCUAAUACCGGAUACGACACAGAGCUGCAUGGCUACUGUGUGGAAAGUUUUUCGGUUGGGGAUGGACUCGCGGCCUAUCAGCUUGUUGGUGAGGUAAUGGCUCACAAAGGCGACGACGGGUAGCCGGCCUGAGGGCGGUUCGGCCACACUGGGACUGAGACAUGGCCUAGACUCCUACGGGAGGCAGCAGUGGGGAAUAAUGCACAAUGGGCGGAAGCCUGAUGCAGCGACGCCGCGUGAGGGAUGAAGGCCUUCGGGUUGUAAACCUCUUUCAGUAGGGAAGAAGCGCAAGUGACGGUACCUACAGAGGAAGCACCGGCUAACUACGUGCCAGCCGCCGCGGUAACAC